rnacentral:rRNA from 1 species
AUACGGAAGGUCCGGGCGUUAUCCGGAUUUAUUGGGUUUAAAGGGAGCGCAGGCGGAGAUGCAAGCGUGACGUCAAAUUUCGGGGCUCAACCUCGUCUCGCGUCGCGAACUGCGUCCCUUGGUUGCGGGAAGGGGAGGCGGAACUCGUGGGGUAGCGGUGAAAUGCAUAGAUAUCACGAAGAACUCCGAUCGCGAAGGCAGCCUUCCGGCCCGUCAACGACGCUCAUGCUCGAAGGUGCGGGUAUCAAACAGGAUUAGAUACCCUGGUAGUCCGCACAGUAAACGAUGGACACCCGCGGUUUGGCCUAUAUGGCUGAGCCGCCAAGCGAAAGCGUUAAGUGUCCCACCUGGGGAGUACGCCGGCAACGGUGAAACUCAAAGGAAUUGACGGGG